rnacentral:lncRNA from 1 species
CAACCACUUGUAAUUUAUGAGGUCAUUCUCUGUUCUAUUAGACUGGAGCCAAUAGUAUGCUCACACUCCAACAGAAUGCCACUUAGCAAUGACAUGAGCCCAUAUGGUAGCUGUCAGAAAGUCAUGGAGCAAAGGAGAUCCGUCAAACUGAUGAACAGGAAACAAAGCCGCCAUCUUGCAGUCGGAAUUGUUACUUUAUCAUCCACUGAACUUAUAUCUUUCUGCUUUUCUACCUCUGGGAUGACACGUUUAAUACCCCUCAGGCAAUGGUUACUUAAUAGUUGCUUCCCUGGUGUCACUCUAUUUUUACUUACUAAAUGUAAAACUUAUGAAAUAUGCCUGGUGUAACAAAAAAUAAUUUUUAAAUGUCCAAUCUUAAAGUUAAAUACAAACAUAUCAACAAUCAGUGACCAUUCACAGACCAAGAAACUCCAUUCUCUUUACUGAACCUCAAAAGAAUUUAUUUGCAUUUUGGAUAUCAAAAUAUCAAGAACUCCAAGGAAAAAAAUAAUCAAACAAAAUGUUUUUUUUUUACUAUUGUUUCUUUUACAUUUUACUCAAGAUAAAAUUAAGACUAAUGAUCAAAUAUAACCCACUCUGAUUCCUUAGCUCUCUGCCUGUGAGGCUGUUGUCUCUGUUGGAGAGGUUCAUUCUUAUGAAACCUGUUACUUUUAUGUUACUCUUAUGAAACCUGUUUCUCAUUUGGGGUUCUGAGAGGCAGGGCUUCUUGUCUUCUCUAACAGAAA